CCAAGCUUCAGAAAGAGUGCAGUAGAUAUUUCCUGUACAUUCUUAUUGUGCCGUCUUUCAGCGUUGCAUGCACUUUGUCUGGCAUACCACAAUCUGUCAGUGUGACACAAGCCCAGCCUGGCGGCAUUAGAUAAUCCACCCCGGUUACCGAUGGCCCAUUCAUUGCCGACUCAUUUAUUGACUCACUAACCCCCUGCAGAGGUGUCUGACCAAGCAUUACACAUCCCACUCCAGUACACAUUAUACUGGGUCAUAGUAUUCAGCUGGUAUUUGUCCAUAUCUGGUGUUUUAUGAUCAGCAUUACCAUCAACCAUCUUCAUUCAGCAGGCAGACCGGCAGCUCAUUAAAAGAUGUAACGGUUAACUUGAUGGUAAUCUGCUCCUGAUGAAAAAGAAGACGAGAGCGCUGCGUUCAUCUUGAACUCACUGAACUUGCAAACCCAAUUUAACGCAUCCCGGGGAGAGGAGGCAUCGAGGUGAGAGAAUGAACCUCAGUUAAACCUGACACCCCGUUAGUUUGCAGCAGCGUGUGUAUGUGUGUGUGUUUGUGGAAGCAAUCAUUCCUGGCAACUGCAUCGCAAGGCAAACAGAUUUGUGAGGAUGGCUUGUAUAAUCUGCAGUGUGUGUCAGGGAUAAGCAAGACAAAACCACCAGUGCGCAGAGUGAAAACCACGGCAGGAGCGCUUGUGACAAAUCCUUGGUUAUUUCACAUUUAGCUCACAGGCAGCGAGCAGCCUCCUGAGAUUUCUCUCCCUUGCAGGUCAUUGGCAACCCUUCAUAACUUGCGACUACAGUGUAUUAAGAGUGCUGCGUUCUUCUAUGGCAGGAAGAGAGAUGCACAGUCGAGUCAAUGGCUUUAAAAUGCAUGAAGCGGAUUAAAUGGCCUGCUGGGAAAAUCUAACCUAAAAUUUCCGGUUACCUCCAUUUACUCAUUUGGCAGGGGGGAUGGCAAAUCCCUGCAUUGGAAUCUGAUUUUUCCACCUCCUCUAACAGGCUCGGAAAGCGAUCUGAAGUUGUUGUGUGUCGGAGUUGUAGAUGGUUUUCUGAUCAGUCAGCGUUACCCCAUUCAUUUCCCUGCUUCGCCCCCAUAAGUCAGCCCUAAGUUUCUACAGUUCUACAUGUGUUAUUUUUCUCUUUCCUCCCUCAUUUUUGCCAAGCUGUCUCCCCCUAUUCUUUCACUUGGAUGUCAUCCUCGUUCCCACGCUGCUCAGGACUACAGAGGAAGUGUCCGGUGCCAACUUGGCACUGUUUAUAUAGAGAAGUGAGGAUUGUACUAAAACCAGGG
ensembl:lncRNA